UUACUAUACAAAUCCUUGGUUUCAAGAACGCAUUAAUCAUAUAAAUUCGAACUAAAAAUGUUGCAGUAUAUUUCAAAAUCGCUGAAGUACCCGAUUGAAAUCACACCACAUACUUCUUUUGUCAGCUAUAGGUCUGAAAAUUUUAUUUGAUUUUAAUAUUAUAAUUAAGCAAUGUUUUAAAACUAGACUUAGUAAUUUUUUACCGUUUCGUUUAUUUCCUUUCUCAUAAUUUUCCUUAUGCACCGUGUAUAUCAUGUAGAUCUCAUAUAACUUAAUGUCACCGAGGGAAGAAAGAUUCUUUUUACUCAAAUACACAACUUUAAUUUUCUACAUCAAAUUUGACACCGAAUGAAACGAAUCAGUGAAAUCUGAUCGCUUAAUGAACAAAAGCGGAAAGUACCGUAUAACACGCAAUUUCCUUUCCUUUGAUUUCUAAUGAUAUACCUGCAAGGUUACCUGGGAUUUAAUAACUUUAUAUAUUAACUGACUUUUUAACAUUUCGUCCUGAUAUUAAAGUGUUCAUUGAUAUGUAGGGAUAAUAAGCGAGUUGUUACAUUGUUAAAUAUUCCGUUGUGUCGAGUGGUUGGAGUUACCCUGGAGCGAGGCGAACCUCAAUGGACGACAGUGGAUGUGUGAUCAGACUGCAGUGAUAACAAAGUAAAUAUAAAUCUGUCAACACCGUAUAUCAUCAUUAAACACUCAUGGAGACCAAAGGUUUGAGUGCAGAGGUUUUAAAAGUCCACAACGCAAAUGUGAAGAAGACGUUGCCAAACAUGGGUCCACCGCCAAAGUCUCUGUGGGGAGCAAUGGCUCCAAAAGACAAACAGUCCGAUUCUAGCAGUAAGGUGUCGUCUGUUCUGGUCAAAGACAGAUUUUCCAGACUCCGGACUAAGUUGAAAAUGCAUAAUAUGAUGGGCGGUUCUUUUACAAGGAGUAAAGCUGGAUCGGAAAUAGUUCCAAGAGGAAUAAAAGCAUUAGAAAAUACAUACCGAAUGGAACCGGCUGAAUCUUCAAAGUUCAACCCUGAUAAAACAAAUCAAAUUAUUACCUCAACAUUCGAAAAUUAUUUGAAGGAUAGAAAAUACGAUCCUAAAACGUUUCCGCAACUGUGUAAAACUUUGGCGGAUUUAUUGAAGGAGAGAGUGAAGGCUACAGGUCCAAAAAGAUUCAAGAUUAUAACCUCCGUAUCGAUUUUGGAAAAUAAAGAACAGUGUGCCGUAUGUGCCAGCAGGUGUAUCUGGGAUACAUCAGUUGACAAUUUCUCAACAGUAACCUACAACGGACAAGAUUUCUCGGCGAUCGGAUCAGUUUUUGCGUUAUAUUACGAGUAGGAUUAUUUGGCUGAGAAAUGAUUCAAUUUCUGUGAUAACUUUAAUGGCUGUCGUUAUAUUGUUAGAGAAUUAAGGUUUUAUGAUGUGGAAUAAACAACAAAAAUGUAGGUAAACAAAUCCGUCCUUUAAAAGAUAUAAAUACCCAUCCUUUUACUAUUAUUUUAAUAUCUUAUCUUAUUUAUUUUAUAAAAUAUGUGCUUUUAAAUGUCAUUAAACAAAAUGUUCUGUUA